rnacentral:pre_miRNA from 1 species
GUCUUACCAUGGGUUCCCUACAAGCACUUCACGAGGCAUUAAAAUGGCAAUGUGAAGUGUUUGGGGGAACUCUUGGUGGCAU